UAUAUUUGAUGAUGUUCCUUUCAGGGACUAUGGACAUAAACGCGCUCGUAAUAAGCGGUUCGGACCCGGGGGCGGUACCCGGCGGCUCCACCAAGAGCGCAUCUGCUAGAUGCGUUGUUGAUGGGGCCGAAAUAGGAUCGACGGACGUCUAAAGGGGUUAGCUUUGUCUCGGCUGGAAGCCACCGUUAUCGGCGCACAUAAGCUAGUUGCAAAUGACAACAAAGCUCCGGUUGCACUCGCUGCUUAAUGCAGUGCGUAAGAUCGAAAUUUAAGUCCUAGUCUCUAGCAAGGCUAGGCGGGGUUCGCAGGCACCUGGCAACAGAAGCCUGCAUACUUCC
rnacentral:tmRNA from 1 species